AAAGGGAUAGUUUAACGGAAAAGCGCCGCACUCCAACUGCGGAGUUAAAGGCUCGAUUCCUUUUCCCUUUC
rnacentral:tRNA from 1 species